GCCUACGGGGGGCAGCAGUGGGGAAUAUUGCACAAUGGGGGAAACCCUGAUGCAGCGACGCCGCGUGAGUGAGGAAGUAUUUCGGUAUGUAAAGCUCUAUCAGCAGGGAAGAAAAUGACGGUACCUGACCAAGAAGCCCCGGCUAACUACGUGCCAGCAGCCGCGGUAAUACGUAGGGGGCAAGCGUUAUCCGGAAUUACUGGGUGUAAAGGGAGCGUAGACGGUGAUGCAAGUCUGGAGUGAAAGGCGGGGGCCCAACCCCCGGACUGCUCUGGAAACUGUGUAACAUGAGUGCAGGAGAGGGA
rnacentral:rRNA from 1 species